GUUCUCACUUUGGCAGGACAUACAUUAAAAUUGGAAUCCUACAGAGAUUAGCAUGGCCCCUGAAGUAGGAUGGCAUGCACACUUGUGAAGCAUUCCGUAUUUUU
ensembl:snRNA U6 U6 spliceosomal RNA